CAUGUUAGAGCACUUUUUCAAUGUGCCCCCCAAUGAGAAGACAACGACGCAUUCGUAUGUCAAUCCAUAUCAACUUUCGAUGCCAUUGACUGCACCUACCAUGGUGACCACAGGUAACUGGGAAUCAGGGUUCGAUUCUGUACAGGGAGCCUGACAAAUGGCUACCACAUGCAAGGAAGGCAG
rnacentral:rRNA from 1 species